UGGGGAAUAUUGGACAAUGGGCGAAAGCCUGAUCCAGCCAUGCCGCGUGAGUGAUGAAGGCCCUAGGGUUGUAAAGCUCUUUUGUGCGGGAAGAUAAUGACGGUACCGCAAGAAUAAGCCCCGGCUAACUUCGUGCCAGCAGCCGCGGUAAUACGAAGGGGGCUAGCGUUGCUCGGAAUCACUGGGCGUAAAGGGUGCGUAGGCGGGUCUUUAAGUCAGAGGUGAAAUCCUGGAGCUCAACUCCAGAACUGCCUUUGAUACUGAGGAUCUUGAGUUCGGGAGAGGUGAGUGGAACUGCGAGUGUAGAGGUGAAAUUCGUAGAUAUUCGCAAGAACACCAGUGGCGAAGGCGGCUCACUGGCCCGAUACUGACGCUGAGGCACGAAAGCGUGGGGAGCAAACAGGAUUAGAUACCCCAGUAGUCCCUGAGCGGGCUGGCAAGGCGCAU
rnacentral:rRNA from 1 species